CUUGGCCAGUGUCCAGCCUCUUUGAGUGUAUAUAAAGGAGGUGCAGAAAACAUGGGGCAGCCAGUCUUGCGUGCUCAGGCAGCCUGAGGAGAUAAAUAUACUGAAGUACAGCAGAUUCUUCACCUCUGAAGAGAGGAGAUUGCUGCAAAAAGAAAAGAUUUUGCCUCAUUUUAAGACUCAGAAGCUACAGGGAUUCAGCAGAUCCUCUUUGAACAUCCAUCACUAAUUUCUACCAUUUGAGACAAGGAUGAAUACUGCAAUCCGGUGCAUUGUUCUCUUGGCCUGUGUGGUCGUUUGCAUUUCACAGCCUAUUAUCAAUUGCCGGUGUUUAACAACAACCCAGAGGGUGAACCUCUCUCUCAUCACUGGUAUCACAGUGAUAAAUCCGAGUCCAUACUGCGACAAGAAACAAGUCAUUGUCCGACUGAAAGGUAGGGGAGAACGCUGCCUUGACCCCAGAGGAAAAUUUGCCCAAGCACUCGUGGAAUACACACAAAAACAAUCCCAAAAGAUGAACACCACCGUCCCAAAAACAACCUCAGUGGCGACCUCAGUGGCAACCUCAGUGGCGACCUCGGCGUCAGCCACACCGCCAGCCACAAUAGCGCCAACAUCAUAAACACAUUGCUUGUGUUUGUCAUUGUUACAGUUAAAAUGGGGUAUCAAGCCACAGAGAAAGAGCAGCAUGCCUUUCCAAACUGGUGUAGUUAAGAUUUAGAGCUAUAGAGCUGCUUUCACCAACCUUCCACACUGGCAGCUAAAACUAUCCACAAAUGUGAAAUAUUGAACACUCCAGCCAGAACUGAAUGGCACAUUCGUUUGUGAAGUCAGAGAAAUGAUCUUACUCUGGCACACGAGUAAACAAAGUGCAUGUCUGAGGUUUCAGUUUUGUAGGAUGGAAAGUUCUUGCCUUUGUGAUGUACACACAGUGAUGAGAGUGAUGCAUUUCCAUCUUAAUAUUGCCUUAAGGUUAAUGAGGAGGCCACAGUGAUCUCAUAUAGAGUCUAUAGCAGUCUAUAAAAGUAAUGUGGAGUAUUUUAAAAAUUAUAAUAAAUGUGAUGUUUUUAUAGUUCACAUAUUGAAACUACAUUCUUUCAAAUCUGAAGGAUUUCUUUCUACAAAUGUGUAUUUAUGUGCUCAUUUAUCACUGUACAUGUAUCAUGUUUGUUUUUUUAAGGCUUAAAUCAUAAUUUACUAAACUGACUAUCGCCAUGUAAUGCUGUUGAUAAAGAGCUGCAGAUUGCAAUAAAUCUGUGUUUAAAAAUUGA